rnacentral:tmRNA from 1 species
GGGGGUGAUAAUGGGAUUCGAGGAGGAAAAAGGGUAAAAGGUGCUGGUGGUUUAGCCUGCCUGAAAGGCUAUAAAAUAAAUGCCAAUCAAUCCUUUGCCUAUGCUUUGAGCUAAGCAUAGGGCUUUACAGGAACUCAGUGCUAGGCUAGUUCUGUAGGGUGACGGCAACCUAGCUAGAAGUUAAAAGGUUUGAGAGAGCCUUUUAACUUCGAAAACAAAAUUCUCUCAGGCUUUAGCAUUUUUGCCGGUUUUAUAUGCUAAGGCUAAAUUUAAAAACCGGCUAUACCAGUAGAGCCUUUUGCUCCUUUUUCCUUCGACAGGGGUUCGAUUCCCCUCACCUCCACAA